GCAUAUCAAUAAGCGGAGGAAAAGAAACCAACAGGGAUUGCCUCAGUAGCGGCGAGUGAAGCGGCAAAAGCUCAGAUUUGAAAUCCGGUGCGUUUACGCCCCCGAGUUGUAAUCUGGAGAGGAUUCUCCGGCGAGGUUGGCCGCCCAAGUUCCUUGGAACAGGACGUCUCAGAGGGUGAGAACCCCGUACCCGGCGGUUUGACCGAGCCAUGUGGAGUUCCUUCGACGAGUCGAGUUGUUUGGGAAUGCAGCUCAAACUGGGUGGUAAAUUCCAUCUAAAGCUAAAUACCGGCGGGAGACCGAUAGCGCACAAGUAGAGUGAUCGAAAGAUGAAAAGCACUUUGAAAAGAGAGUUAAAAAGUACGUGAAAUUGUUGAAAGGGAAGCGCUUGCCAUCAGAACCGGCGCCGGUCGAUCAACGUUCCUUCUGGUUCGUGCACUCGGCCGGCUGCCGUGCCAGCAUCGGUUUCCGCGGCGGGACAAAGACGGCGGGAAAGUGGCUCUCUUCGGGGAGUGUUAUAGCCCGCCGUGCAAUGCCGCCAGCAGGUGACCGAGGACCGCGACUUUGUCAAGGAUGCUGGCCUAAUGGUUGUAAGCGACCCGUCUUGAAACACGGACCAAGGAGUCUAACAUCCACGCGAGUGUUCGGGUGUCAAACCCGCGCGCGCAAUGAAAGUGAACGGAGGCGGGAGCCCGCAAGGGUGCACCGUCGACCGAUCCUGAUGUCCUCGGAUGGAUUUGAGUAGGAGCGUGGCUGUUGGGACCCGAAAGAUGGUGAACUAUGCCUGAAUAGGGUGAAGCCAGAGGAAACUCUGGUGGAGGCUCGCAGCGGUUCUSACGUGCAAAUCKMUCKUCRAAYKUGRGUAUAGGGGCGAAAGACUAAUCGAACCAUCUAGUAGCUGGUUCCUGCCGAAGUU
rnacentral:rRNA from 1 species